rnacentral:rRNA from 1 species
UACGGAGGGUGCAAGCGUUAUCCGGAUUCACUGGGUUUAAAGGGUGCGUAGGUGGGCAGGUAAGUCAGUGGUGAAAUCUCUGGGCUCAACUCAGAAACUGCCAUUGAUACUAUUUGUCUUGAAUACCGUGGAGGUCAGCGGAAUAUGUCAUGUAGCGGUGAAAUGCUUAGAUAUGACAUAGAACACCAAUUGCGGAGGCAGCUGGCUACACGAAUAUUGACACUGAUGCACGAAAGCGUGGGGAUCAAACAGG